GAGUUUGAUCAUGGCUCAGGACGAACGCUGGCGGCGUGCCUAACACAUGCAAGUCGAACGAAGCACUUCUGAAUGGAGAUUCGUCAAAGUUCAGAUUUGACUUAGUGGCGGACGGGUGAGUAAUGCAUGAGCAACCUGCCCUGCAGUGGGGGACAACAGUUGGAAACGACUGCUAAUACCGCAUGAUGUAUCUGGAAGGCAUCUUCCGGAUACCAAAGAUUUAUCGCUGUGGGAUGGGCUCAUGUCUGAUUAGUUAGUUGGUGGGGUAACGCCUACCAAGACUGCGAUCAGUAGCCGGACUGAGAGGUUGAACGGCCACAUUGGGACUGAGAUACGGCCCAGACUCCUACGGGAGCAGCAGUGGGAAUAUUGGGCAAUGGGCGAAAGCCUGACCCAGCAACGCCGCGUGAAGGAAGAAGGUCUUCGGAUUGUAAACUUCUUUUAUGAGGGACGAAGGAGUGACGGUACCUCAUGAAUAAGCCACGG
rnacentral:rRNA from 1 species